AAAUAUCUACAUAGAACUCUCUCUCUCUCCGUGAAAAAAAGAACUCUCCUCUCCUCCCGUACGAUCCCCACCAGGCUCCUCAUACACAUCCGCCAUUUCUUCCGAUUUGCCGCCGGCGAAGGACGGCGUCUUUGUGCCCCAUCAGGAAACUAAUCCUCACGCUAUCCCAGAUCCACAUGUCGCUUCUUUUCUCCUGAUUUUUCUUCCUUGGUGGUGGCACAUGUGGCUGGGUGAGUGUGUGGAUCUCGGCGAACUCGUCGACUCUGGCAACGCGGUCAUGGAGAUGUCCAGUGGGAACGCGGGCUGCGCUGCUCAAACUUGUCGUGCCCGGAGGCUCUAGAUGUUGGGGCCGCGGAGGCAUUGAGGGAGCUCACAGAGGAAGAAAUAUCUGCAAGACGUGAGUAUCUUCUGUGAGUGUUGUUGCCCUCCUGCUGCCCGGACUUCUACCAAAUCACAAAGGGCCACUUUGAGUCGCUUGGUGACAUAAUGAUUAUAGGAGCAUCACCUGCAAACCUACCUUCAAUUUUAGCUCGUGGACUGGAAUUCCUGGGAAGAUCAUGUUGCUAAGGAGCUCUGUUGCACACAUAUUCUCCAUUGUGUUGUAAUUCAUUGUUUCCUUGCACACAGUGUCCAAGUAUAGAUUGCUCUUUCUUCGAGAAAUUCACGGUUACGAUAGUCUUGCUGCAAGUUUGGAUCGUAAUAUCCAUUCUGCAAAUUCGGCCACAUUUUGCUUUUCUAUUGGAUCUUCUGACAGACUUUAGCCGCAUGUUUUCAGUUAGUCUAAAUAUUUCGAAGUACUUCCAUAGGUAUGACCUUUUGACCGAGGCAUUUACUAUCUGCUCUCUCUUUUCCUUUGUUAUGACUUGAAAUAUUUGUCUGAAGUCACCUUCUAGCACAACUUUCAUGUCACCAAAUGACCUUUCUUCACUAUUUUGGUUUGUGAACCUUAGAAUAUCCCUAAGGCUAUUUUCUAGUGCAUUGAAGCAGUGUUUGUUUGCCAUAGGAGCCUCGUCCCAUAGUAUUAGUGAGGUCUUCUUUACCAGUUCAGCCAAAUGAGCAAAGCUGCAACGCCAGAUGAUGCUAACGCAAGCACUUUCUUUCCCUCUGACCGUAGCUUCGUUGUAAUUGCUUUCCACAGAUAAAUUUUGCCUGUGCCACCGUAGCCUUCUACAAAUAUCUAUUUUCCAAGUCCUUUCGCAACUGAUUCCAUUAUUGCAUCAAAGGCCAAAAGUGCUUUGGCGUCACUUCUUCCGAGGUCGAUUGGAGUAGCUGGGCAUGGCUUUGUCAUGCGUUGAGUGUGCUUUGGCGUGACUUCGUCGGACGUAGAGUGAAGCGGCUGGAGGUGGCUUUGCGUAUCAAAUGUCGAGUUGCCCAGUUGCGUGUGAUGUCUUCAAGCCAUCUGAGUUGCCGAGUCGCGUGUGAUGUCUUCAAGCCAUCUUGGUUGCCGACAUCAAAAAUUUUGGUGUGUGCUUCUACGGCCGGCUGUACUUGUUUAUAUAUGGGUGGAGGUGCGUGGGUUGAGGUGGCCGAGACCGUGAAAGCAGAUCGGAAACCUGUCUUUUUUUCAUGUCUUGGUUCCUGUUUUGGAACUUCCUCACGUGAGGUCUGGUUAGGUCCAAUCGUUGUCCUUAUUUGUUUAGGUUUCCUACUAUUUUUGCUUCCUUGACCCAUUGAUUAAAAGAUUUUUUUUUUCUGCGGGCUAGUUGACGAUUUGGAUGGAACCUAUGUGCACUAUUUGUACGUGGCAUGUUAUACUACUUGUACAUGUACAUAUUUUUACGUAA